GAUGAACGCUAGCGGUAUGCUUAACACAUGCAAGUCGUACGAGAGUUUUAACUCUAGUGGCGGACGGGUGAGUAACACGUGAGAAUCUGCCCAUAGGAAGGAAAUAACAUUGGGAAACUGAUGCUAAAGUCCUAUAUACCUUUUUGGUGAAAUAGAGAAAUCUGCCUAUGGAGGAGCUCGCGCCUGAUUAGCUUGUUGGUAGGGUAACGGCUUACCAUGGCAACGAUAGGUAGGGGUCCUGAGAGGGAGAUCCCCCACACUGGUACUGAGACACGGACCAG
rnacentral:rRNA from 1 species